GAUGAAGAACGUAGCGAAAUGCGAUACGUAAUGUGAAUUGCAAAUUCAGUGAAUCAUCGAGUCUUUGAACGCACAUUGUGCCCCCUGGUAUUCCGGGGGGCAUGCCUGUCCGAGCGUCAUUACUGCCCUCAAGCCCGGCUUGUGUGUUGGGCCCCGUCCUCCGAUCCCGGGGGACGGGCCCGAAAGGCAGCGGCGGCACCGCGUCCGGUCCUCGAGCGUAUGGGGCUUUGUCACCCGCUCUGUAGGCCCGGCCGGCGCUUGCCGAUCAACCCCAAUUUUUAUAGGUUGACCUCGGAUCAGGUAGGGAUACCCGCUGAACUUAAGCAUAUCAAUAAGCGGAGGA
rnacentral:misc_RNA from 1 species